GGUGAUGUAGCUCAGUGAUAGAGUAUCUGCCUUCUUGCAUGCAUAGGCUCUGGGUUCAAUCCCCAGUACCACCA
rnacentral:tRNA from 1 species